rnacentral:rRNA from 1 species
UCAGACGAUGCGUCAUGCAUAUCAAUAAGCGGAGGAAAAGAAACUAACAAGGAUUCCCUCAGUAACGGCGAGUGAAGCGGGAAGAGCUCAAAUUUGAAAUCUUCAAGGUUUUACCUUGACGAAUUGUAGUUUAAAGAAGUGUUUUCUGCUGAAGUUUUGGUAAAAGUUCUUUGGAAUAGGACAUCAUAGAGGGUGAGAAUCCCGUAUUUGACCAUUAUUUUCAGCUUUGUGAUACACUUUCAAAGAGUCGGAUUGUUUGGGAAUGCAGUCCAAAAUGGGUGGUAAAUUUCAUCUAAAGCUAAAUAUUGGCGAGAGACCGAUAGCGAACAAGUACCGUGAGGGAAAGAUGAAAAGAACUUUGAAAAGAGAGUUAAACAGUACGUGAAAUUGUCAAAAGGGAAGCGUUUGACACCAGUGUUGGUUUUCUCGAAAAUCAAUUAAAAAUGGCUCGAUUUUGUAUUGCUGAGACCUUAAAAGCUCACUGUACAUUUUUCGUGUCUUUUUUAAUGCACUUUUCGUUUAACAAGUCAACAUCAGUUUCUUUUGUUGUAAAAGGGUCAUUGGAAGGUGGCUUUCUUUUCGGAGAAAGUGUUUAUAGCCUUUGGCCUCUGCAAUCGGAAGAGACUGAGGUCUGCAGCGUAGACUCUUCGGGGUUAGAUACAUUUGUGCUAAGUUAUAGCUUUUUAUAGACAACUUGUUGACUAUAAUUAGUCUUGUAGCUUACUCGCUUAUGCUAUUUUACCUACGCUUAGGAUGUUGAACUACUGAGACAUAGA